GCCCAGAUGGUGGAAUUGGUAGACACGCCAUCUUGAGGGGGUGGUGGGGGAAACCCCGUGGAGGUUCAAGUCCUCUUCUGGGCACCA
rnacentral:tRNA from 1 species